rnacentral:rRNA from 1 species
ACGAACGCUGGCGGCGUGCUUAACACAUGCAAGUCGAACGGGCGGUUGAAAGCUUGCUUUGAGAGCCUAGUGGCAAACGGGUGAGUAACGCGUAGGCAACCUGCCUUCGGGAUGGGGACAACAGGACGAAAGCCCUGCUAAUACCGAAUGAAGCAUCCUUCCUGCAUGGGAAGGGUAUGAAAGAUGGCCUCUGAAUAUGCUAUCGCCUGAAGAUGGGCCUGCGUCUGAUUAGCUGGUUGGUGGGGUAACGGCUCACCAAGGCGACGAUCAGUAGCCGGUCUGAGAGGAUGAACGGCCACAUUGGGACUGAGACACGGCCCAGACUCCUACGGGAGGCAGCAGUGGGGAAUCUUCCGCAAUGGGCGCAAGCCUGACGGAGCAACGCCGCGUGAGUGAAGAAGGUCUUCGGAUCGUAAAGCUCUGUUGUUGGGGACGAAUGGCGCGGGGGCGAACAGUCCUUGCGAAUGACGGUACCCGACGAGGAAGCCACGGCUAACUACGUGCCAGCAGCCGC